GACAGAGGCCUCAAGCGUUAGGCGGAAUCACUGGGCUUAAAGCGUGUGUAGGCGGAUCGUUAGGUGUCUUGUGUAAAUCCCACGGCUCACCCGUGGAACGGCUGGGCAUACUGGCGAUCUUGGGCCAACUAGGGGCAACUGGAACAAGCGGUGGAGCGGUGAAAUGCGUAGAUAUCGCUUGGAACGCCGAAGGUGAAAACAGGUUGCUGGGGUUGUGCCGACGCUGAGACACGAAAGCCAGGGGAGCAAACGGG
rnacentral:rRNA from 1 species